UACGGAGGGUGCAAGCGUUGUUCGGAAUUACUGGGCGUAAAGGGCGCGUAGGUGGUUGUGUAAGUCGGAUGUGAAAUCUCUCGGCUCAACUGAGAAACUGCAUCCGAAACUGCAUGACUCGAGUGCAGCAGAGGGAAACGGAAUUCCUGGUGCAGAGGUGAAAUUCGUAGAUAUCAGGAGGAACACCGGUGGCGAAGGCGGCUCCCUGGUCGGCACCUGACGCUGAGGGACGAAAGCUGGGGGAGCAAAC
rnacentral:rRNA from 1 species